CUCCGGUUGAUCCUGCCGGACCCGACUGCUAUCAGAGUGAGAUUAAGCCAUGCGAGUUAACGUAGCAAUACGUGGCGCACGGCUCAGUAACACGUAGUCAACAUGCCCAGAGGACGUGGAUAACCUCGGGAAACUGAGUCUAAACCGCGAUAAGUGAGGAUUUCUGGAAUGGUUCCUGACUAAAAUCUAUAUGGCCUCUGGAUUGGACUGCGGCCGAUCAGGCUGUUGGUGAGGUAAUGGCCCACCAAACCUGUAACCGGUACGGGCUCUGAGAGGAGGAGCCCGGAGAUGGGCACUGAGACAAGGGCCCAGGCCCUAUGGGGCGCAGCAGGCGCGAAACCUCUGCAAUAGGCGAAAGCCUGACAGGGUUACUCUGAGUGACUUUCGCUAAGAAAGUCUUUUGGCACCUCUAAAAAGGGUGCAGAAUAAGGGGUGGGCAAGUCUGGUGUCAGCCGCCGCGGUAAUACCAGCACCCCGAGUGGUCGGGACGAUUAUUGGGCCUAAAGCAUCCGUAGCCGGUUCUGCAAGUCCCCCGUUAAAUCCAGCUGCUCAACAGAUGGGCCGCGGAGGAUACUACAGAGCUAGGAGGCAGGAGAGGCAAGCGGUACUCAGUGGGUAGGGGUAAAAUCCGUUGAUCCAUUGAAGACCACCAGUGGCGAAGGCGGCUUGCCAGAAUGCGCUCGACGGUGAGGGAUGAAAGCUGGGGGAGCAAACCGGAUUAGAUACCCGGGUAGUCCCAGCCGUAAACGAUGCAGACUCGGUGAUGGGUUGGCUUCGCGCUAACCCAGUGCCGCAGGGAAGCCGUUAAGUCUGCCGCCUGGGCAGUACGGUCGCAAGACUGAAACUUAAAGGAAUUGGCGGGGGAGCA
rnacentral:rRNA from 1 species